AGAGUUUGAUCCUGGCUCAGAACGAACGCUGGCGGCGCGUUUUAAGCAUGCAAGUCGAACGGUAGAAAGGUGCUUGCACCUUUUGAGAGUGGCGAACGGGUGAGUAACACGUAGAUAAUCUGCCUUUGGAUUGGGGAUAGCAUAUGGAAACAUAUGGUAAUACCGAAUAAGAUCUUUGCAUCAUAAGAUGUAUAGAGGAAAGGUGCUUAGGCACCGUCCGGCCAUGAGUCUGCGGUUCAUUAGCUGGUUGGUAGGGUAAAGGCCUACCAAGGCGACGAUGAAUAGCCAGCCUGAGAGGGUGGACGGCCACACUGGGACUGAGACACGGCCCAGACUCCUACAGGCAGCAGCUAAGAAUCUUCCGCAAUGGGGGGAACCCUGACGGAGCGACGCCGCGUGAACGAUGAAGGCGGAAACGUUGUAAAGUUCUUUUCUUGGGGAGGAAUAAGUCUGGUAGGUAAUGACCGGAUGAUGACGUUAACCAAGGAAUAAGCCCCGGCUAAUUACGUGCCAGCAGCCGCGGUAACACGUAAGGGGCAAGCGUUGUUCGGAAUUAUUGGGCGUAAAGGGCGCGUAGGCGGUUUUACAAGCCUGGUGUGAAAUACCUCAGCUUAACUGAGGAAACGCGCUGGGAACUGUAAGACUAGAAUCUAGGAGGGGAAGCUGGAAUUCCUGGUGUAGGGGUGAAAUCUGUAGAUAUCAGGAAGAACACCGGUGGCGAAGGCGAGCUUCUGGCCAUAGAUUGACGCUGAGGCGCGAAAGCGUGGGGAGCGAACAGGAUUAGAUACCCUGGUAGUCCACGCUGUAAACGAUGUGCACUAGGUGUUGGGCCUUAAGGCUCAGUGCCGUAGCUAACGCGUUAAGUGCACCGCCUGGGGAGUAUGCCCCGCAAGGGUGAAACUCAAAGGAAUUGACGG
rnacentral:rRNA from 1 species